AAUAGAUAACAGUUUUUCACAUAUAACCCCUGUUGCAUGGUUGUUUUCUAAGCUGCUCUCUAUGCAGGGUCUGUACGAGGAUUCCAUUCGGUACUAUGUAAGGGCGGUUUCCAUGAAUCCAAAAGCAGACAAUGCCUGGCAGUACUUGAGAAUUUCACUUGGUAAUGCUUCACGCAGUGAUAUGAUUGCUGCAUGUGAUUCCCGCAACCUUGAUGUCCUUCAGAAAGAGUUUCCCCUCUGAGUCCAAACAUUCUAGACAUUAGGAGGUCUCCACCAUGAAAGGGUAGAAGGAAACUAGCAAAAUGGGAUGGUUUCCGUGGCUGCAUAUUCUGGAAUGAGAAGGAGAAACAAGCACAAAUUGGCGGUCAUUGUGUUACUGUAUUUUUCUGUGUAAGCUAAUUGAUCUUCUGUUUGCUGAGAUGUCGAAUGUAUAGAAAGCCAGAUUAUCAGCCAAUUUGUAGAUGUAAAAUCCCAUGGUGGAAACAGUGGUUGCAACCGAGGGAUAGAACAUGUAAUUCUGUAUACAAGGAGGUACAAAUGAAUAAAAAGGCGGUCGUUGAAUGGAACA